rnacentral:lncRNA from 1 species
CCAUGGAAUGAGUGAUUUUUCUUAGAAGCAGAGGUGGAGCCACUGAGGAAGCACAGGCGAGCCCUCCCCAGCACGUGCUCACUGGUCCCCAACAGAAGAACCGCUGCCGCCUCCAUGAGUCCCAUCAGAGCCCUAGAGCCCAAGAUGCAGCAUCCAAGGUUCCCUCCAGAAAUCCUGGUGGCUUGACUUAUUUUGUCAUGUUUCAUCUGAUAACAAAAAUAUCAUAUUAGCUGCACAGAAAAAUGGCUCAAAGUGCUUACUGACUAGAAGAAAUCGAGGAGCAGCAAGAAGGUAAUGUGGAGAGGGGAGGACCUCCAUGACCGGUGUCUGCAGAGCCAGGGGUACAGGCACCCAGUGCAGUGACCUGGCACCACCUGCCUCUCAGAGGGUGGGUAGCACACUGUCCUUACCUGGGGGACAGCAGGCCUGGCCACUGGCUUUUCUCCCUGUCCCUGCAAGCAUCACAUUGCUGGAAGAGAAUUUCAUGCCAGAGCUUGGACCGUCCCUAGCUUGGGAGUUACGGGUUGUCUCUUGGUGACCUAAAUGAAAAAAUAGGUCCAGAACAGAGUUCCUGAUGCUGGGCACUCAUCCACUCUUUGAAUCAUGGGAGGGGAGGCCUAGUCCUAGGUAAACCUAACCUCUUUGAGGAACCACAGUGCCCAAGGCUGGAAACCUCCAGAAUCCUCCCGCCCCCGAUCCUCCCCAGGGACCCCUGUGGCCUGUCUCACCAGAGCAUUCUUCCAUCCGUAGAUGUUUCAUCUGCUCUACAAGGGAGUCCCAUUUCAGGUGUGGGGCUGGGCAUGGUCACUCCUGCUGGAUGUCUGGAAGGUGAAAACCAAGGACCUAGGGAAAUACCAGGUACAGCCUUUCCACCCUCAUCCAGAGCAGGACAAACAGGCCAGGUGGUAUCAGGAGCCCAGGUCUCCAGCUGGAGGGAAUGUCAACCCUGCAGUGGGAGUCCAUCACGCAUCCUAGGCACAGAUGCUAAUGUAGGCACCGCGGACCAUAAAGGAAAACAGCAAGAGGUCCCCAGCAAACAUCUACAGAUGGCCCUGGACAUCAGCCACAUUCUGAGAAACAUGUCAUGUUCUGGGAGGGCUAAGGCAUCAAGGCCUCAGUGCAUGGGCACUGUCCAACCUCUGGUGCUGAAGCAGCCGAGAGACCCAAGCCUGCCACUCAAGAUAUGA